CGUGAACACUUUUUAAUGUAAUAGGUUUUACGAUGUUUGGUUAUUAACUUUUAACUUUGUUUUUGUUUUGGUAUAGUACAAUUGUAACAAGGCCGGCCGACUAGAAACUUUUUCUAGCCGGCCCAGUGCUGGUCAGACCAGAGUGCUAGGAUAAGAGAGAAAGUGAACAACGUUAACAUUGUUCUGGAGUACAACGUUGAAGUCGAGUACAGAGUAACACCGUUCGAUCUGGGAACAUCGCCGGGUGCAGGUGGGUGAAACGUUGUCGUCGAGGUGUUGUGUCCGCUACUGUGUUUUAGUUGCGCGAUACGCUCCAGUACGUCGGUUGUUUUCGUGUUCUAGUCGGUCUUCUUGUGCGCAUGCAAACGCAUUUUACCCGGUUUCUGGUCAACGUCGUGUCCACUAAGGUGUAUAGAAAGUGUCUUUUAAACUCUUAAUUCCCUAAGAUGUCCGGUCUUUAGUUUCAACCGUGAAUCAUAUGUUUGUUUUAGUCAAGCUUGUGUGCGUAUCUCCAGUGGUUGGUCUUUUGUACAAGGUUGUCUCGUCUAGUUUACGUGGUCUUUCUAGCGUUCUUUGGUGUAUUUUGUGUCGUUUGUAGUCCGUUCUGUUUGUUUUAAUACCUGGUUUAAUUCGCGAGUGAAUAAGUAUCAAGUGGUUUCGACGAGGUGUGGUCGUCUUCAAACUUCUAUGUUUGCUAUUGUGACGUAGUGUCAUACCAUGUCUUUGUUUCUGUCAAGUCCGUUGCUGUCUGUGUCUGGUCUGAGGUAACCUCCUAUGGCCUCUGUGGCUCUGAACACUUGGGUCUCUGUCUUCGUCGAGGUACCGGUCCUCGAAUGACCGGUGGUGCCUCUGCCUCGUGGUUCACUUCCCACCUGAGGAAGACCUACAACAUCAGGCGGUUCCACGCCGGUAGGAGUUCGACGAAUGGCCGUUUCUACUCUGCGACGACCAGGCCCCCUUACGGGAGGAACAGGACCUAGAAGCGGAAGUGCAACAGUUACCACAGUCUACUGAGGUGGAGGUCCCACUACCAGAACGGCCACUCCCAGAAGUGUUUAUAGACGUACGGUGGUGCCUCGGACUCGUGGUUCACUUCCCACCUGAGGAAGACCUACAACAUCAGACGGUCCCAGGCCGGUAGGAGUUCGACGAACGGCCGUUUCUACUCUGCGACGACUAGGCCUCCCUACGGGAGGAACAGGACCUAGAACCGGAACUGCAACAGCUACCACAGACUCCUGAGUUGGAGCUCCCACUACCAGAACGGACAGUCCCAGAAGUGUUUCUAGACGUAGACAUCUAUGUUUUCUAUUGUCUUGUUCUCAUUCCGUGACAUGUCUCUUUAUACGUCAUGUAGUUUUGUUACGUACUUGGUCUACAUGUCGCCUCCACCUUAACAUUGAUUCUUGGGGGAUAGAGUAUGUAGUUUGUUAUAUAAUCGUCUAGAUAUUCGUUAUCAACUUGGUUCUACUAUGUUAUCUACUCGGUUUAUUUUGUUCUCAUUCCGUGCCAUGUCCCUUUAGACGUCAUGCAGUUUAUUAUCUACUUGGUCUACCAUUGUCUACUUUAACAUUGAAUCUUAGGGCAUUUGGUACGUCACGAUUUAAAAACGUUUUGACGUAUAUUCGUAUAUGGUCGCGUUAUAACCGGACGUCACCCUCGUGUCCAUUUUGAUCGACACGACUUGUUCGACCAGUUCAGAUCCUUCGUUGUCAUUAUACCCGUUUGGUUGUACUUAGAUUCUCAAGCUACGGGUUCAUGCUUAUGAUGUUCUUGAUGAUUAGACCGUUUAGUGUCCACAUAGUUAAGUGUCUAGUAUGUCCCGAUGUUUUAGUCGUUGAUCGAUUGAUGUUGAUGUAUUCUGCUUGGCUUGGCUGUCGUUAGGGUAGGGUUAUUGUGGAAGCUGUCUAGUAGUAUUUAGGUCUUAUUAUGAUUUGUUGGCUCGUCUUGAUUGAUUGAUGUUGGUCUAUCUACUCGGCUUGGUUGUUGUUAGCGUAGUCUAGAUCAGCUUUUAGUACCGUAUUGGUUCUCUUUAAAUUGAUGUUGGCUCGGAUUAGUUUGUGCUGAUUAGCUUGUCCGACGUUAGCUAGACGAGGGUUGCCGAUUAUCCUUAGCUCCCCUUGUUUGUUGGCUAGUUCCAUAAGGACCGUUGCUAGGGUCCCGUGCGUGCGUGCGUGUACUGCUAUUCCUCCCCUUCUUUAGCCUCCGAGCGUAGGUAUGGAACUGUCGCACGAACCAAGCCCCCUUAAGCUCUACCCCUUACCCUCAACUCUCCACUCCUCUAAUUUUCAGGUGACAAACUAAUCUCCCUUACCCUCAAAUUCAUCCUUCCCGUUACCCUCAGCUCCUUCGGUUAAGGGUGGAUAAAGAAGGGUCCCCCGUGGGACAAUUAAGCACUCGUCUCAAAAUAGGGUGCGAUUAAAGGUAGUAUAUGGUUUGUUCCCUUACCCUCAUUUUUAGAUGAAGGGUACUGAUUAGGGAAUAUUUGUGGGAACACGUUUGAGGGUAAGGAGACGGAUUCACGAAUGGUUUGUCCGACACUCCUCCUCCUCUCUCGGAACCGAAGCGAAGCUAGCCUCCAAAGGGCUACUCUAACCUCCCCCUAGACCUAACCUAGCCUACACACUUCUCCUUAAAUAUCGGCCUAGGCUGCCCUCCCCAACCCCCUUCCUUCUUCGCGAUGCCGUGCGGCCUGCACUGCACACCCCUACCCUUCUCCUCUCCGCCAGCGCCUCAGGCAGGGUGGUGCGUUACCUAUCCCUCGUUGAUGUUAUCUUC
rnacentral:rRNA from 1 species